rnacentral:snRNA from 1 species
GGAUGUGAGAGUAUUCUGGCUGCAGCAGCUGUCAUUCCAUUUAUACCAGGGUUAAUUCAGCUGAUCUGGCUGGCUUGGUGGGUGGGUGGCCUCUUCCUGCCUUACUGCUCCAUGUGUGCCCCUCCCAAAACUGUGUGCCUGGUAGAAGGGGAUGGCAAUCCCAGAUAAAAGGCAUGUACCAUUUUCAGUCAAGGUUGUAGAAUACUUGCACUCCCUGUGAAAACCUCCAAAUAAGCUCAAGGUUCAUCAAGGUUCAUACCUUCCAACUGUCAUAACUGCCACAGUACUUUGGAUUUGU